rnacentral:lncRNA from 1 species
UGCCCCAAACAAAAUAAUCUUUACCAGAAAAGCACCUUUUUUGCUAGCUUAAUUGCGUCCACUCCAGAGCUUUCGCUGGUAUACAAAUGUCAUAAAAAACGCCCCUAACAUUACUAGACGGACAAAAGUUUCUUGGGUAGACCUGGCCUACAUAUGGGACACUAUGGUCAGUAACUUUUGGCUUUCUCCAAAGACAUUUUCAAUGUCUCUCCAGCUGGGGGGGACUUGUGGCUGGAUAUUCCCGUCACAAACAGCUGAAGUUAGAGCCGAUUUUGUUAUUCAUGUAACGUAAAACAAACUGUUCCAUUUUGGGAUAUUCAUUGUUCGCUAUUCAGUAAGGACAAAUAAACUGUUUCACUGCUCAUUAUUACUGGCCUGUGUACCAGGCUACAGAGUAAGACUGGUUAACAGGGUCCUCAGCUUUGAAAAACAUUCUGUUUCAUGUUCCGUGAGCCUGAGAUGGGAAAUAAGGGCCAGAUUUCAGCGGGGCUGCUUGCAGCGUGAGGUCCCGCUCAACGGGAGGAGGCAGAAUCUGGCCCGAAAUUCCCACUGUUGCCAUGUUUCAUACGACUCGUCAACCUGCCCCACCCAGCAUAGAGUCACGUAGCUACCCCAGUGCCAGGCGGGAGGUGGGAAAACACACUGGAUUAGUUAGAAGUGCACGUUAAUGGGCAACAGCUCCACUGCCCGACAAGUCCGAGGGAGUAAUAGCAGCUUAAUUUUUCAAUCUGUUAUUUCCUAGUAUCUGGGACAGGACUGGCCCAAGCAGCAUGCAGCUACCCUGGGAAGAAGGCAACUCUUGGGUGCUCUCCCAUGCAACCAGGCUCUACCUGCACGGAUCGGAUUGGGGUCUGAAAGCCAGGCAACUUGCUGGUUUCUUUUCCACUUGUGAGCCCAUUGACCAGACAAGGGCGCUGAGUGGGACGGACAGACAGAUGCACGGAGAGGCAGAUGGAGAAGAAGCCCAGUGCCAACCUGGAGAUGGGCAGCAAAAAGAAAACAAGGAGCGGCACUGUAGAAAGUGAAAGAAAAGCGUGUCUCUAAACCAGAGAGAGUCCCCUGCCAAGUACCUACCCAGCCCUGCGUGACUUCAGCGGAAGCCCGACAAGAUGCCGGAAGGGCCAAUGACAUAGGAUCGCCCCCCAUAAGCCUGUUGUGGUGGCACCCUGUGGGUGGUCAUUGGACAACGAGGUUCUCCUUUUCCUUUGGACACUUCCCACUGGAUCCAAACCAUGAGGAGAAGGGAGAGAAAAGCGAAGGUGCCCAAGGAACAUUAACCCCAGGCUUCCCUGCUCUCCGACCCAGCACCCCUCCCCGCUUCCAGCAGAUAAGGGAACUCCU